AGUGAACGCUGGCGGCAGGCCUAACACAUGCAAGUCGAACGGUAGCACAGAGGAGCUUGCUCCUUGGGUGACGAGUGGCGGACGGGUGAGGAAUAUAUCGGAAUCUACCCAAUCGUGGGGGAUAACGUAGGGAAACUUACGCUAAUACCGCAUACGAUCUGAGGAUGAAAGCGGCGGACCGCAAGGCGUCGCGCGAUUGGAUGAGCCGAUAUCCGAUUAGCUAGUUGGUGAGGUAAUGGCCCACCAAGGCAACGAUCGGUAGCUGGUCUGAGAGGAUGAUCAGCCACACUGGAACUGAGACACGGUCCAGACUCCUACGGGAGGCAGCAGUGGGGAAUAUUGGACAAUGGGCGCAAGCCUGAUCCAGCCAUGCCGCGUGUGGAAGAAGGCCUUCGGGUUGUAAAGCACGGGUGUGGGGAAGAAAAGCC
rnacentral:rRNA from 1 species